AGCAGCCGCGGUAAUUCCAGCUCCAAUAGCGUAUAUUAAAGUUGUUGCAGUUAAAAAGCUCGUAGUUGAAUUUCGGGGUUAGUAGGCUGGUCGUGCCACAGGUAUGUACUGGUCUUACUGACUUCUCCUUUCUGAAGAACUGUAAUGCCAUUAAUUUGGUGUUGCAGGGAAUCAGGACUGUUACUUUGAAAAAAUUAGAGUGUUUAAAGCAGGCUAACGCUUGAAUACAUUAGCAUGGAAUAAUGAAAUAGGACGUUCGAUCCUAUUUUGUUGGUUUCUAGGAUUGACGUAAUGAUUAAUAGGGAUAGUUGGGGGCAUUAGUAUUCAAUUGUCAGAGGUGAAAUUCUUGGAUUUAUUGAAGACUAACUACUGCGAAAGCAUUUGCCAAGGAUGUUUUCAUUAAUCAAGAACGAAAGUUAGGGGAUCGAAGACGAUCAGAUACCGUCGUAGUCUUAACCAUAAACUAUGCCGACUAGGGAUCGGAUGAUGUUAAUUUUUUAAUGACUCAUUCGGCGCCUUA
rnacentral:sRNA from 1 species